AUACCCGGCCGCCCGCCUCCCGCCGCCGCCUGGCCGGGGGCGCCCGCGCGGCCGCUGCGGUCGCCGUGCCCCCGAGAGGGCGGAGGAUCCAGCCCUUCGCGUCUUGGCUGACAUCUCCGAGCCCCGACCGGCUGGGCUGGGGCCCGGCGGGGUUCCGGGGACCAUCGGACCGGGUCCCCAACCCCACGACGGAGCAGAGCGGACGACCGAAAGAAGCAAGGGGAGGCGAAGCGCUCGGGACCCGGACACCCGCCGUCCGCGGCCGCCGCCUCGCAUCUCUCCACCCCCACCCCAUCCCCGGACAGUGACAGGGAACGGGGUCUCGAGGGGGAUCGCCGAGAGGCAGAACUGACCUGUGGAAAGCGACGCUACGGGUUCACAUAUGUUUUGGAACACACAACUGGGCCAAGGGACAGUCUUCCUGUCGGCGUGGGCGUGAGCUUGUCCUUGGUUGCCAAGGAAACUCUCCACCGCGGGACGCGCCCACCUCACCUUACCCGCUUCCUAAUUGCCUUGAUUUACCGUCUAGCACGACCGGUAUCUUCCAGCCUCUGUGGAGUGUGCAAAAAUAAAUCAGAAUUUUCAGACUCGUGGUAGAGCAGAGCAAGUACGGUAAACACAGUUUUGAGCAGUCGCAACUCACGAAGGUUAUGAGUACAAAACACUGAGCAGGAUGUGAUAUGUGCAUAAAAAUGAGAUAUAAACAUUCAAGAAAUGCCGUGAUCCUCGUUUCACAGAUGAGGAAACAAGCCCGAGGAGAUUAAGGGAGCUGAUUAGAGCUCAGGUAAUGGUAGGCCUGGGACUUGAGCUUCCUUUUUCUGAACAUUGCACGACAAUAUCUAAACUACUCCUCUACUCUCCGGUCCAAAGAAGCAGCUACUCGCACACUACGUGGAAUUAAAUUCCUGGCUCUUCUACUCAUCAGCCAAGUGAACUUGCACAGUUACUUGGGUCCAGGGGGGCUGUAAAAUGGGGAUAAUAAUAGUUUCCAUUUUAUCAGGUUUUCCUGGGGAUUAAAUGAUACGGCACCAUGACCUGUCCCUGUAAGCCAUCAGCCAAGGGUUCUUUUGGAAGAUACUGAUUCUGCCCAGUUGUAAACACAUGACCCGUCUAUCACUCAUGCAUUCAGCCGCUUCAAAUAUGUCUUUGAUGUAGUUACGCUGGGAGGAAGGAGGAGCAGCAAGUGCUUGGGGAGGAGUCUCUGGGCUCCAGCAAAGAGAACCUGCAGGCGUUCCAAGCUCUGCUUCGGAGUUGAGAGGAUCUGACCUCAAGUCUCAAGUUCUGCCUUGAAUCAGCUGUGCCCUUUCCAGGUACAAGCUCCUGUGGUCCAGUUUCCUCACCUAUAAAAUGGGGACGUCAACGUCUUGUUGGAGAAUUACAGUAAAAAUGAAUGAGGGCUUCCCUGGUGGUCCAGUGGUUAAGACUCUGCACUUCCACUGCAGGGGGCAAGGGUUCGAUCCCUGGUCAGGGAAGUUCCGCAGCUGUGGGGUGCGGACAGUAAAAAAAAGGUAUGAUUCAUAAGGGAAAAAACAGAUAAAUUAGAUUUCUCAAAAUUAAAAACUUAGAAAAAAAAUGGAGUGAGAUAACUUAUGCAAACUGUCCAAAAGUGCCUGAUACUCGUAUGCCCGUCUUUUCACCCUAGAUUAUAAGCUUCAGGAAGGUAGGGACUACACCUGCUUCAUUCACUGUCAAGUUCUUAGUGCUGAGUAGAUGCUCAGUGAAUACUUUUUGGAUCACCCGAAGCAAGGAAUUUAAAAGCUGGAGGUUGCCUACUGAAUCCUGGGAAGCUGAGUGAGAAUAUUUUUGCUUUUCUAGAUCUAUUCUGUUAUAGAAAGUGUAAGUGGUUUCAAAAGGUCAUGAAGAUAUAAGACGGUAUGUAAGGACUGGGUAUGUAUGUUAAACACAUGUGACAUCCACGGUCAUUCAAUUCCGUUUACAGGGUUGAAAAUUGGAGACAACACGUAUGCCGGACAAAAGGGGAUUGGACAAGUUACUAAUGGUUUAAUCAUGGUGUUGUUAAAAAUGUUUUAGAGGAAUGUUAAAUGAUGAAUGAAAUAAUCAUAACAUCUUAAGUGGAGAAUCCAAAAUUAGUUCUGAUUUUGUAAGAAAUCAUAUGUAAAUAGAAUAAGUGCAUAGUAUAUACUUAUCUUAAAAGGGAACACAAAUACGGACACCACGUGGGGAAAGUAGGGAGGGUUGGGGGGGAAUGAAUUGGGAGAUUGGGAUUGCCAUAUAUACAUUACUAAUAAGGAAAAAAAACCAAAUUUACACUCUAAAUAUAUGCAGUUUUAUUGUCUGAUUGAUAAAUAAAUAAAUUAAUUAAUUAAAUAAAAUAAAACUGGACUUCUGUUUCCAGGAAUAUAGCAAAACCAAGUCACCCACUGAAAAUUAAAUAAAAUGCUGCAUAAAAUAUUUUUUUAAAUAAAAGGGAACACAAAUACAUCAACAUGUUGCUGGAGAGUUCUCUUUUUCCUUUGACCUUUAUAGUUUCAACUUUUUCAUAAUACCAGUGACUUUUAAAGUAAAAACAAAAUACCGAAUCAUAUUGAAAUUGACAACCAUCCAGAGAACCAGAUACCAGUCACUAAAGAGCAAUAAUGUCGUCUACAUUUUCCACCUCCUGUUCCCAGCUCUGAAAUCUUCCAUUCUGUUACUGCUUCUACCCAACUCUUUUGUUUUUGUUUUUAGUCUUAUAUUUUUCCUUUUUAAUAUUUUUUUUGACGUGGACCAUUUUUAAAGUCUUUAUUGAAUUUGUUACAAUAUUGCUUCUGUUUUAUGUUUUGGUUUUUUGGCCCCAAGGCACCUGGGAUCUUAGCUCCCCGACCAGGGAUCAAAUCACAGCCCCUGCAUUGGAAGGGGAAGUCUUAACCACUGGACCACCAGAGAAGUCCUCCUUCUACCCAACUCUUAAGCUCAAGAAGUCAGCGAGAGACUGCUUUCUUUUUCUUUGUUUCUUUUUCCUUGUCUUAAUAUUCACUUGUGCAUCUGAAUAUUCCCAUCCUUGGUUCUCAGAAGUGCAGAACUUGAUCGUAUUUUGUUUCUAGGAGGCCAUGUGUUUAAGGCAAAGUUAGAGAAAUUUUUACCAGGUACAUACCCUUGUUUCAGAUUAUUCAAACUUUAUGAUUAGUUAUUUAUCUGUCUCUUUACUGCUAAAUUUUAAGUGCCUUGAAUUACCUUUCCCUGCCUGGAUUUAUUUUUUUGUCUUCCGCCUCUCCAAGGCACCUAGAAUAGGCCAGGCAUGUAGCAAACAUUCAAAGGUUUAGACAAUGAAUUAAGCAAAUAUUUGUUGUAACCAAAAAGGGCUCUCCUAGCUUUAUUACAACCUUUACAGCCUUUUAAAAACAUGAAGUAGAAUGUCUUCUUGUGUUCUAUACUCUUCCUCAGUCCUUCUUUUAAGUAGCUUCCUAAUAACCAAUCCAAAGUAUGCCUUACAUGUUCUACCUCCAAAAUGUAUCUUGAAGAACCUACUGUACAGCACAGGGAACCCUACUCAAUACUCUGUAAUGGCCUAUAUGGGAAAAGAAUCUAAAAAAAAUGAGUGGAUAUAUGUAUACGUAUAACUGAUUCACUUUGCUGUAUACCUGAAACUAACACAGCAUUGUAAAUCAACUGUAUACUUCAAUAAAAAUUUUUUAAAUUAAUUAAUUUAAAAAAAUGUAUCUUGAAUCUGCCCACUUUUCUUCUUUCUUUUGAAUCUUCUACGUCAUUAUCAUCUUUAUUCUUAUCUCCUGUAGUGGGUGGAAUAGUAUUCUCCCUCCCCUCCGUGCCCCCCCCCCCAUUCACAUCCACGCAGAGUCUCAGAAUGGACCUUAUUUGGAAAAAGGGUCUUUGCAGAUAUAAUUAGUUAUGGAUAUCAAGAUGACAUCAUUUAUUAGAAGCGGAGAAGACACAGACACAUGGGGAAGAAGACCACGUGGAGACAGAGGCAGAGGUUGGAGUGAUGCAGCCACAAGUCAGGGGACACCCAGGACCACUGGAGCCCCCGGAAGCUAGGAAGGGGCGAGGAAAGAUUCCUCGCUAGAGCCUUCGGAGGGAGCAUGGCCCUACUGAUACCUUGGUUUUGAGCUUCUAGGCUCCAGAGCUGUGCGAGAACGGAUCUCUAUUGAAGCCUCGCAUUUUGUAGUACUCGGCUAGGGCAGCCCCAGGACACUGACACAUCUCCCUACAACCCAGAGUGUAGUUUGUAACACAUCAGGGCUAUGGCUGCUUUGCGUCUUCACUGCUGUGCGUGGGCUUUCUCUAGUGGUGGCGAGCAGGGGCUAUUCUUCGUUGUGGUGCCCAGGCUUCUUAUUGUGGUGGCUUGUCUUGUUGUGGAGCACGGGCUCUAGGCACGCAGACUGCAGUAGUUGCAGUAUGUGGGCCCAGUAGUUGUGGCGCAGAGGCUUAGUUGCUCCGUUGCAUGUGGGAUCUUCCCGGACCAGGGACUGAAUCCAUGUCCCCUGCAUUGGCAGGCAGAUUCUUAACCACUGUGCCACCA